rnacentral:lncRNA from 1 species
UGUUAUGAUGCAUUUCAUAGAGCAUAGUGUUAAUAUGUUUUAUAGUUCUUCUCACUGGGCUUUUAGCUCACCCCUCUCCCUUUACCCCCAGGCUUGCAGGUACAGUAUAGAGCAGGAGUCCAGAUAGAGUAAAGAAGUCAUGUUUAUGUAAUAGCUAGCAAUGGACAUGAUCAAAUUGUAAUGUAAUGUCUUAAUCAGUAUAGAUAUGUAUGAGAUGAUGUUUAUG